AGUGAACGCUGGCGGCAGGCUUAACACAUGCAAGUCGAACGAGUGGCGGACGGGUGAGUAAUGCUUGUGACUCUAGCUUAUGGAUGGGGAUAACUACGGGGAACUGUAGCUAAUACCGCGUACCAUCGGCUGAGCCCAAGUGGGAUUAGGUAGUUGGUGAGGUAAAGGCUCACCAAGCCUACGAUCUCUAGCUGGUCUGAGAGGAUGACCAGCAACACUGGGACUGAGAAACGGCCCAGACUCCUACGGGAGGCAGCAGUGGGGAAUAUUGCGCAAUGGGGGAAACCUGACGCAGCCAUGCCGCGUGAAUGAAGAAGGCCUUCGGGUUGUAAAGUUCUUUCGGUAGCGAGGCGUUAACUACAGAAGAAGCACCGGCUAACUCCGUGCCAGCCGCCGCGGUAAUAC
rnacentral:rRNA from 1 species